GCCCGAGGACUCACCCGGCGGCGGACACCUGAGUGGGCUCCCUCCGCCCCCGCGAAGCCUGCACGGCCGCCGGUGAAUCAAAAAGGGUUCCAGGAAACCUGUGAAUGUUGAAGAAAAUUCGUCUGUGAAUUUUUGGUAUUCAAGGAGGAGUCAGUAUUUAUAUUCAUCUUUUAAACUGGGAAGAUUUAUAUUUUAUUUUAAAACGUCUUGAUAUUUACAAUGAAUGGACACAGUGAUGAAGAAAGUGUUAGAAACAGUAGUGGAGAAUCAAGCCCCUUCAGGAUGCAGACCUGAAAAUGAGGCUCAGAGCGGCAGUGACUUACCAAAUAUCACACAUCUGGGACCUAGAGAAGUUCUGACUGAUAUAAAGCUUUAGGAAUCUCUCAAAUCCCAUUGAUAAGAGACAGGAUGUCUCCCCUGGAUUAUCCACUGAUUGGAUUAUCCACUCCCUUCCUCCAUAAAAGGGGAAUCAGAGGCAGAACUCACUGCAUUUUCCAGCAAUCCACGGGCUGUCUGCACAUCAGGAGUGGGGUCAGCAGGACAACUCUGCAGCCAUGGAGGAACCUGCAUCGGCCUGUUUUCCAAGCCAGCCUAUUCUGGGGAAGCUCAAAAGAAAUAUGAUGCCACAGACUUCAGAGAAGAAAAGACAGGUCCAUUUAUCCAAGACCAAGCAGAGACAUCGUGAAAGGUCUGCACUUCCUAUAAGACUCACCAGCUGCAUUUUUAAGAGGCCAGCUACAAGGAAGACUUCCUACCCUGGCACUGAGGUCAGGUACAGUCAACGGGAGGAGACCUUGCAGAAGCCCCUGUAAGUCUGCGCACACAGGAGACUGCAGGGACUCCAGGCCUGCAGCAGUGAAGGAGAACUUUUAAGUACUUUCCAUAUCACAAAUACCUUAAAUAUAAUUGCACCAGGUGGUCCAGGUGAAUCCGUGGGCUGUGCUGGUGCUGGGUAUCUAGACCCCAGCCUCAAGCCCACUGCCACACAGUCUUCAGACUGGGCAGAGAUGAUCCCAGGAGUGGGUCUUGGUCUCCCCCGCCCACUCUACAGACAGCCCGUAACUUAUGGAGACAUCCGCAGACAGAGUCAGAAAGUGACAAAAGCAAGGGAGAGAGGGGCUGAGGCCCUGAGGGCAGCCAGGUUUGCCAGGGAGGCAGAGAGAGCAAGGAGCCAAGAACGAUGUUCUGAUACCUGAUGGAAAAUACAAGAAGGUCAUGCUGAAGAAGCCAAGAAGUGUGGCCCUGGGGAAGUGUUUCCCCACGAACAGCCCCCAGUUUCACUCGCCUCAUUUAAUGUCAACCAUGCUUCUUGCUCUGGACUGUGAUGCUUUGUCAUUUUAUAAUUGUACUUCAUUAAACUCUUUUGAGAGACAUAAAUGUGAAGAGUAGACAGUUGUGUGGGUGAAAGAUCGGGUUUCCUGUGACAGGAAAGAAGAUCUUUACUUGUCCUUGUAUACUGCAAUUUCUGCUUACCGUGAUACUUAUUCACUUUUAUAUUAAAGGUAAUUUGGCCUAAGGGAUCAUUUAGUGUUUUUAGUUAUAUAUUUUUUUAGAAUACGUGCACUCAGAAAAAGAUGAUACUUAAUGUAAAGAGAUUAUUUUUUAAAUUUAAACUAAUUUGAUUCUAUAAAGUCUUACUUUACCUAAGCUUGCUUUUAUAGCUCAUUCUAACAUAAGUUGUAUCCUUUUUUUUUUCCAAAUACUAACUCAAAUACAAGACGUUUUUAUAUAAUUUAAUUAGCCCUUAGACUACCGGUUACAGCCUUAUCUGUUACCUAAAAUUACCUCGGUAAUUUUUUAAAAUAAAGUUCACCUUUGAUUCUUAACAAGGAAAAUGUUGUCUGGGAGCAUUUUGUCUUUGGGAUGCUUGUCUUCCUACAUAUCGAGAUGAUGGGUGCAUUGCAACAGAAUGCUUGGGAAAUCAACACAGUUGUUCAAACCUAGUAGGAAGUAACUCUGUUCUCCUGUUAUCGGGUCGCUUCUCGAAAAACUAUGGAUGAAUACAGCUCUGCCUUCCUGUCCCACAUUCUGUCCUUUCUGUCAUUAUUUUUCCUGUAUGUCUUGCUUUUCUUGUUCACGUUCUCUCUCUUCUGCUGUCUGCUGUUCUCUUACCAUAAAUAUCCAUUGUUAACCAAGAGAAUAAAAUAAAAACUAUAUUUAAAAAUAGUAAAAUGAAUGGAGUUAAUCAAUAUGGUAAAAGAAUCUGGUGAAAUAUCAGUGACUUCAUAUAUUGGGCCAGAAAAGAACAUCUGUUUUCACCUGUUUACCUACUGAAUUA